rnacentral:lncRNA from 1 species
AAAGUCUAAUAUAUAAAGAUAUGUCCAACUCUAAUAGUACGAGGCCUUUUGGGAAGGAAACCAAAAGUAAAUCCAUGCGGGCUAGCCUCCUAGGCCCAAAGUGGACAAUAUCGUACUAAUAAGAUAAGAUAGAGUUGGACACGGGAUUUCACAAUCCCAACAAUUGGUAUCAGAGCCGGUUGACGAGAAAUCUGCAAGAAAGACCUAAAUACCCUUUGAGUGAUGAAUGAGUGAUGAAUGGGUAUCCUAUGAGUUAGGAAUGAGAGG